rnacentral:lncRNA from 1 species
AUUUGGUCAAGGCCCCUUCUUUUCAGGCUCUUUCCCUGCUCACUGCUUCCCAGGUGCUAUGAGUGGAGCAGCGCUUCGCCACCAUGCUCUUCCAUUGUACUGUUUCUGCCUUGGAGCCAGCUGACCAUGGACUGAAACCUCUGAAACCAUGAGCCAAAACAAACCUCUCCUUUUUAAAGUUGCAGGUGUCAGGCUCUCAGGUUCCAUGAAUGUUCAUAAAGCAGGACCGAAAGGGAUUCCCAAGUGACUGAAAAUCCUCUUCAGAGAAAGACGAAAGAGCGUCCUAAACGUACAAGGACCAGGGCUUUACCCAUAGUCACACCAAAGGAAUGCUGAAAGAAGCUCUGGAGGUUUACAUACUUUGCAAUUCCCCAUGUUUCUACAGUAUAAAGAGAAACUGUGUUUGUACACUCUUGCACCAAGUUUAGCAGAAAACUUUUCUUUGGGGCUCUUCUAUGGGGUUGAAGUUCUCCAUGUAUGAACAAUACCUAUGCAUAUCAGGUCUGCUCAUUCUACACGCUGCAUGGACUUAGGGGAGUAUCUUUAUAUGUGGAUCUGUAAAUACACCGCUCAUAUCAUAAUUUGCUCCUGUGUCAAAGGCUUCUUGUCCUGCAGUGAACCAAUACAAGUCGCUUUCAUGUCCACUGUUCUAUGGUGAUCAUAGGGUGAUUCUGACUUGGGUUUAAUAGUUGCCCCAGAGCAACGCUGCUGUCACUUUCUCCCCAGUCAUCUUCAUCUUCAGAAGGGCAGACCAACCCCCAGGCUGUUGUGGGUCAGCAUCCCUGGUGUGUGUGCCACAAGUGGGAUGUUGCUUGCAGAUGUACGGAAGCCCAGCUGCACACACUUCCUGGAGGCCACUUUCACUGGAUCCUGGGCACUCCAGGGAAGAGCAUACUGUUUGCUUGAUGGAAAUACAAGAUACCCUGCCAGGACCAACUGGGGACCUCUUGGUCAUUCCAUCAAUGAGACUUGUCUGGCCUCUUUGGCCGUUUCCAAGAUUAGCAGUCUCUGAGAAGGGCUAGGAGGAGGUAGGGCACAGGUUCCAUAAGGCUCUCAGCCACUGAU